rnacentral:rRNA from 1 species
UACAGAGGGGGCAAGCGUUGUUCGGAAUUACUGGGCGUAAAGGGCGCGUAGGCGGCCUGUUAAGUCGAACGUGAAAUCCCCGGGCUCAACCCGGGAACUGCGUCCGAUACUGGCAGGCUUGAAUCCGGGAGAGGGAUGCGGAAUUCCAGGUGUAGCGGAUGAAAUGCGUAGAUAUCGUAAGGAAGACCAGUGGACGAAGG